rnacentral:rRNA from 1 species
UACGAAGGGGGCUAGCGUUGCUCGGAAUUACUGGGCGUAAAGGGCUCGUAGGCGGCCAACUAAGUCGGACGUGAAAUCCCCAGGCUCAACCUGGGAACUGCAUCCGAUACUGGAUGGCUUGAAUUCGGGAGAGGGAUGCAGAAUUCCAGGUGUAGCGGUGAAAUGCGUAGAUAUCUGGAGGAAUACCGGUGGCGAAGGCGGCAUCCUGGACCGACAUUGACGCUGAGGAGCGAAAGCCAGGGGAGCAAACGGG